rnacentral:rRNA from 1 species
AUGGGAGACCUGCCCGGCGCGCCGCCGGACCCCACGCUCGCCCGGCGUUCCUCUGGAUCCCGCUGUCCCGCGCCAGCCAAGACGGAGAGGAUGGGGAGAGGCCCCGCCGCCGCCCAGCCGGCCAGGCUUCGCCCGGCGGCGCUAUGGACGGUGGCGAGGGGGGGGGAAGAGGAGGAGGAGACUCGAGGGGUGGCGGCUAGGGUUUUCCCCCCGGUCGCCCGCGGGGGCGACACGAGGGGCGAGGGGCGAGCUCUACAUGUGGCCAUGUCAAAUGUGCGCAGCGAAUCGGCAAACUUGUAG